rnacentral:tRNA from 1 species
GGAUAGCUCAGCUGGCAGAGCAUGAGAUGCUUAAUCUUAGGGUUGUGGGUUCAAGCCCCAUGUUGGGCA